GUGUGGGGCUUGGUGGAUGUCCCCGAGGUGGACAUGAGGGUCCCCAGUCAUCUUCCGAAAAGGUCAAAUUCCCCAAUUUGGAUUGAGGUUCCUGGUGCAGGGCUUGGUGGAUGUCCCCGAGUUGGACUUGAGAGUCCCCAAUCCUUCUGAAAAGGUGUCAAAGUCGUCAAUUUGGCUGGAGCUUACUGUUGCGUGCCUUGGUGGAUGUCCCCAAGGUGGACAUGAGGGUCCCCAAUCAUCUUCCAAAAAGGUGUCAAAUUCCCCAAUUUGGAUUGAGGUUCCUGGUGCGGGGCUCGGUGGAGUUCCCGGAGUUUGAUCUGGGACACCCGUGUUCUUCCCAAAAGGACAAAUUCCCCAAUUUGGAUUGAGGUUCCUGGUGCGGGGCUUGGUGGAGGUCCCCAAGUUUGAUUGAUGGGCGCCAAUCGUCUUCCAAAAAGGUCAGAUUCCCCAAUUUGGAUUGAGGUUCCUGGUGCAGGGCUUGGUGGAUGUCCCCGAGUUGGACUUGAGAGUCCCCAAUCCUUCUGAAAAGGUGUCAAAGUCGUCAAUUUGGCUGGAGCUUACUGUUGCGUGGCUUGGUGGAUGUCCCCAAGGUGGACAUGAGGGUCCCCAGUCUUCUUCCCAAAAGGUCAAAUUCCCCAAUUUGGACUGAGGUUCCUGGUGCGGGGCUUGGUGGAGGUCCCCGAGUUUGAUUGAUGGGCGCCAAUCGUCUUCCAAAAAGGUCAAAUUCCCCAAUUUGGAUUGAGGUUCCUGGUGCGGGGCUUGGUGGAUGUCCCCGAGGUGGACAUGAGGGUCCCCAAUCAUCUUCCGAAAAGGUCAAAUUCCCCAAUUUGAAUUGAGGUUCCUUGUGCAGGGCUUGGUGGAGGUCCCUGAGUUGGACUUGAGAGUCCCCAAUCCUUCUGAAAAGGUGUCAAAGUCGUCAAUUUGGCUGGAGCUUACUGUUGCGUGGCUUGGUGGAUGUCCCCAAGGUGGACAUGAGGGUCCCCAAUCAUCUUCCAAAAAGGUGUCAAAUUCCCCAAUUUGGAUUGAGGUUCCUGGUGCGGGGCUUGGUGGAGGUCCCCGAAUUUGAUUGAUGGUCGCCAAUCGUCUUCCGAAAAGGUCAAAUUCCCCAAUUUGGAUUGAGGUUCCUGGUGCGGGGCUUGGUGGAUGUCCCUGAGUUUGAUUGGUGGUCGCCAAUCGUCUUCUGAAAAGGUCAAAUUCCCCAAUUUGUAUUGAGGUUCCUGGUGCGGGGCUUGGUGGAUGUCCCCGAGGUGGACAUGAGGGUCCCCAAUCAUCUUCCGAAAAGGUCAAAUUCCCCAAUUUGGAUUGAGGUUCCUGGUGCAGGGCUUGGUGGAGGUCCCCUAGUUUGAUCCAUGGACGCCAAUCAUCUUCCCAAAAGGUCAAAUUCCCCAAUUUGGAUUGAGGUUCCUGGUGCGGGGCUUGGUGGAGGUCCCCGAGUUUGAAUGAUGGUCCCCAAUUGUCUUCUGAAAAGGUCAAAUUCCCCAAUUUGGAUUGAGGUUCCUGGUGCGGGGCUUGGUGGAGGUCCCCGAGUUUGAUUGAUGGUCCCCAAUCGUCUUCUGAAAAGGUCAAAUUCCCCAAUUUGGAUUGAGGUUCCUGGUGGUGGGCUCAGUGGAUUUUCCCAAGUUGGUGGUGAGAGUCCCCAAUCCUUCUCAAAAGGAUCAAAUUCUCCAACUUUCCUGUUCCUUACUGUUGCGUGUCUUGGUGGAUGUCCCCGAGGUGGACAUGAGGGUCCCCAAUCAUCUUUCAAAAACGUGUCAAAUCCCCCAAUUUGGAUUGUGGUUCCUGGUGGUGGGCUCAGUGGAUUUUCCCAAGUUGGUAGUGAGAGUCCCUAAUCCAUCUGAAAAGGAGUCAAAUUCGCCAAUUUGCUUGUUGCUUACUGUUGCGUGACUUGGUGGAUGUCCCCGAGGUGGACAUGAGGGUCCCCAAUCAUCUUCCAAAAAGGUGUCAAUUUCCCCAAUUUGGAUUGAGGUUCCUGGUGCGCGGCUUGGUGGAGGUCCCCGAGUUGGAAUGAGGGUCCCCAAUCAUCUUCCGAAAAGGUCAAAUUCCCCAAUUUGGAUUAAGGUUCCUGCUACGUGGCUUGGUGGAUGUCCCCGAGGUGGACUUGAGAGUCCCCAAUCAUCUUCCAAAAAGCUGUCAAAUUCCCCAAUUUGGAUCGAGGUUCCUGGUAUGGGGCUUUUCUUUUGUUUUUUAGAGUUUUUCUGGAAAAAUUGAAUGAAUAAAAACAUUCUGUUCCUUUGAUGUCUCUGUAGUUUAUCAUUUUGCUCUUGUUGUUUAUCUCUUCUUUUUUUUUUCUCUCUCUUUAUUUUGGCUUCUUUUAAUGAGUCAUUCUCAUUAGGCAUGCUAUCUUCAAUAAUUUGGAGUUGGUGGUUUAAAGAAAGAUUCCCUUGAUUUUGAUGACCCAUGACUGUUUUCCUGGACUGGCCCAAGUUGUUUUCCUGAGGGAUACAGGCAUCACUUUGAAUAAAGUCCUCAAUAUAAGAUAGAAAGAUAUGCUGUUGUCCUAUUUGGAUUGAGGUUCCUGGUGAGGGGCUUGGUGGAUGUCCCUGAGUUGGACCUGAGGGUCCCCAAUCAUCUUCCGAAAAGGUGUCAAAUUCCCCAAUUUGGAUUGAGGUUCCUGGUAUGGGGCUCUUCAUUUGUUUUUUAGAGUUUCUCUGGAAAAAUUGAAUGAAUAAAAACAUUCUGUUCCUUUGA